ACCGAAAGGUAGGGGUGCCCGCAAGGGAGCGCGGAGACAGGUGGUGCAUGGCUGUCGUCAGCUCGUGUCGUGAGAUGUUGGGUUAAGUCCCGCAACGAGCGCAACCCUCACCCCUUGUUGCCAUCAGGUAAAGCUGGGCACUCUAGGGGAACUGCCCCGGUCAACGGGGAGGAAGGCGGGGAUGACGUCAAGUCAUCAUGCCCCUUACGCCCUGGGCUACACACGUGCUACAAUGGCCGGUACAAAGGGAUGCGAGACCGCGAGGUGGAGCCAAACCCAAAAAGCCGGUCUAAGUUCAGAUUGGAGUCUGCAACUCGACUCCAUGAAGGAGGAAUCGCUAGUAAUCACCCAUCAGCACGGGGUGGUGAAUACGUUCCCGGGCCUUGUACACACCGCCCGUCACACCACGAAAGUCAGUUGUACUCGAAGUCGCUGAG
rnacentral:rRNA from 1 species